GUUCUGGAGUUGGUCCAGAAGUUGGGGAAAAUACUUACUCUGCAGUGGCUAUAGGAAUAAAUAUAUGGGUGGCCAACGAUUAUGUACCUAUGGUUGAACCAAUACUUCACUUAUUUAUUAGAAUGUUCUUUAUAUUGAGAUGCAUUACUUAUUAUUUGUUAUUUUGCUGAUUUAACCAAUGCUUUCAAUAAAUUUAGAUACGCUAUGCAAUAGCCCAAAGACCCAUUUUUAGCUUCAGUUUGAAGGGCUAAAUGAAAAGGACAUUCUAUGAAAGGGAUCCAGACUCGCCUUAUCUAAUCAAUGCCUUUCAGCUGAUUGGAAUGUCCUCGUGCCUCGACCUUUCUGGCUUCUUUGAGAAAGAGGUAAUUAAGGAAGCUCGAGUCAUGCAUGCUGGCAUAAGUAACGAUUCUUAUACCUAAAAUAUGUACAUACUGCCAGUUUGUUUCUGAGAGGAUAUCAGGUUUACAUCAAAUCACUGUCCAAAAGAAUUACUGGAGAUAAUUGAACAUACAGUUGUAGAAAUGGGAUUUCAUGCCCAUAAGAAAAACGGAAAGGUCAGUUUCAUGCCUUAUACACUUAAUCCUCAGAGAGUGUUUAUCCUAUUCCUAUGGAAUCCUCUCUAACAGUGUGUCUUAAAUAUGUAUAGUUGAAAGUCACGCUAUAGCUCAAAGAUCAGAAAGCACCAAAAAUUCUCUCAGUAGCUGCAGAAGUGAGUGAGAGUGAAUGUGGAAGGAGAUGCUGGUAUAGCUAGCUUCCCAUGGUCUCUUUAUUUUGUUACUUAGGCUCUUCUUAUUUUAGUUGGUGAUUAGAGACGAUGUCAUUGUGUGUAUGUGGCAUAAUUCUAUUGUUACUAAUAUGAUAGGCGCGAACAUGCGAGGGCUGUGGAGAUUCUUACAAUUGUCUUUGAAUAACCCAGAAUGACAACACAUGGAUUCUCUUAGAUGCAUGAGUAUUGCUCAUUUGUAUUCCUAAAAAUGUAUGUUUUGAGAAAACAGUAUAGUAUGCAUCGAAUAUCUAUUAUCUAUUUUACAACUAUCAAUAUGAAUUUUUUGUAUCAAGAACUGUUUCAGCUAUGGUGCUGGCUUGCUCGGUUCUUUGGCAUCCAUGUGAAUGCUUGGCAGUAUUGAUUCCAUGGCCGAUGGAGCAAGAGGGGUGAUCAAGUAUGUUUUCCAUCAAUUUUUCUUUUUCUUUGAUCGUUAAAAUUUCUUAGAUGGUGGCCUACAUAAUGUGUGUGUUAAGUUGUCAUUGUCGUUGCUUGUGCAUUUUUUGCUCCUUUGGUUUUUGUUCGAUUCAGAACUUCUCAUUGCACGGGAGUAAUGGAGCAGCCAAGGCUGUUGGUCACGUAUUACAAGCUUUAGCAUGUCUGCCGAUUUUAUUGUCCUCACUCUUCAGAUGAAAAGUUAUAUUCAGAACAACUUAUGAAUAGUUUGGAUUCGAGUUCAAAGCCUUAAAGAAGGUCAAAUCACAAUGGAUAUUGACUUAUGCUGGGGUGGUCAUCCUACCAAAACAGAUCUGUAUUUUGCAUCAAGUUUAGCACAUCUGAUUCCUGCAACAUCCUACUCUUCUCAUCUCUCUCAACUACUCUUGUACCUUUCAUGCCAGUUGGAGAUCCCAAAGCAGUUAUUUCAUCCAAAUGUAUUCAAUGGCUGGAUAAUUCUUUUCUUGAAUAUAUUGGAGAGGCUUGUCCCUGUAGAAGGACAACCUGAAGAUCCCGAGCUAUGAAAAACAUGGGGAUGGUGGAAAGUAAAGAAGUGGACAGUUCACAUAUUAAACCGCCUUUACACUAGGUAGGUUCUUAUCUAUAGUCAUUCUAUGACCAUGUAGUUGGACUUGAUUUCAUUAAUACUUUUGUGUUCCCUUGCUUUUCUCGGGUUUGGGGAUGUGAAACUUCAAAACCCAGAAAACAAAGCUUUUCCCAUAAGUUCCAUAAGAAUUAUGC